AUUGAACGCUGGCGGCAUGCCUUACACAUGCAAGUCGAACAGUAACGGGCCUUCGGGUGCCGACGAGUGGCGAACGGGUGAGUAAUACAUCGGAACGUGCCCGAUCGUGGGGGAUAACGAGGCGAAAGCUUUGCUAAUACCGCAUACGAUCUACGGAUGAAAGCAGGGGACCGCAAGGCCUUGCGCGGACGGAGCGGCCGAUGGCAGAUUAGGUAGUUGGUGGGAUAAAAGCUUACCAAGCCGACGAUCUGUAGCUGGUCUGAGAGGAUGAUCAGCCACACUGGGACUGAGACACGGUCCAGACUCCUACGGGAGGCAGCAGUGGGGAAUUUUGGACAAUGGGCGCAAGCCUGAUCCAGCCAUGCCGCGUGCAGGAUGAAGGCCUUCGGGUUGUAAACUGCUUUUGUACGGAACGAAAAGCCGUCUUUUAAUACAGGGGGGUCAUGACGGUACCGUAAGAAUAAGCACCGGCUAACUACGUG
rnacentral:rRNA from 1 species